GAGAAUCCUGUCUCUACCAAAAAAAAUAAAAUAAAAAUAAAAAAUGAAAAAUAGCCAGGUGUGGUCAUGAGCCUACAGUGCCAGCUAUAGGCUGAGGUGGGGGUAUCCCUUGAGCCCAGAAGGUUGAGGCUGCAGUGAGUCAUGAUUGUUCCACUGUACUCCAGUCUGAGUGGCAGAGCUAUACCUUAUCUCAAAAACAAAACAAUGCAAAAAAGAUCUGAUUACAAGGAAACACUAACAAUGAUAAAAAUGAAAUAUUACCACUAUAAAACAUGUUCUCAUAAUAAAUGGUAAAUAAGCAUUGAUUUAUUAAAUAUGGCUCCAUUAAACUUCUACCAUUUGUCCUUUUUUCUCAUAUAUUUGGUUCAUUAUCACAUAGCUUUUGAUUUGGAGAAACAGAAGAUCUUUUUGUAUGAGGUCUGAUGAAUCAAUAGUAGCAUAUUUCUUCAUGGCAGGCAUAUUACUGGAAUGGUAGUCUUUCUGUAAACAUCACCAUGGGUUUCCUUUUUCUACUGUAAAAUGCAUUAAAAUAGGCAUGCAAAACUAGAUGAAACAAAGAAAAUAAAACACAUGGUCCAGAAAAUUGUGGGGAUCAGGGAAUAUAUACCUGACACUUUGUUUAAUCCUGUGAAAGAAAAGCACCAUGUGGAUGGCUACAGCUAUCCUGGCAUUUCCUCAUGUGGGUAACCAUUUUCAAUUUCUUGAAAAGAGCCUUGCAGGAAACAUCAAUGGGUACGGAGUAAGUAUAGAUAAAAACAGAAUUCACACUAGGCAAUAAUCUUAGCUAAGUCUUUUGCUAGGAUGACCAUGUGCCAGACAGGCUUUUAAGCACUACACAUAUAAACUCAGUAAGUUUCUAUAACAAUUCUAUGAAGUCAGCGCUAGUAUUAUUCUUAUCCUACAGAUGAGGAAAGUGAGGCACUUGCUUUACUUGCCAAGGUCACACAGGUAGUUAGAGAGGGAACAGACUGGCCCAUAUCCAUGUGAACCCCAUGUGACGACAUCUCGAGGAUGCUGUCAUUAACAAAGUGGUUUUAUUCUCGACUGUUUCACAGACUUGGGGUCAAUGAGAUAGAUUCACUUAAUCACUCACAAUGUAUUAGACACCACCUUUAUGUCAAACAUUGCUAGGCACUGUGCAAGAUGCAAAAAAAUGAAACAGUUGAAUUAUUUUCUGGCAGAAAUUGUUCAAGCAUCAGAGUUGUGCAUAGUCCCUUAUUUUCUCAUGUGCUUGGAAUAAUAUAUGUUCAAUUCAGUUAAAUUUAGUUCAGUUCAAUUUAAUGCAACUACAUUUAUGAAGCAUCUAUGAAGUUCUUGGCAGUAGGUAUAGAAUGAUAAAUAGUCCAGCCCUAGACUUCACUGAACUCACCCUCAGUGAACAGGACAGACACAAAUAAGUAAAUAACUCAAAGAGAAGGCAGCAUGUUAUAAGAAAGGGAGAAUCAAAGUUCCGUGAGAAUGCAGGCUGAAAGUUGUAAAAGUAAUUGUUAGAGAAGUGUGUGUGUGUGUGUGUGUGUGUGUGUGUGUCAGAGAGAGAGAGAGAAGAAGGGAGGGAGAAAGAAUAUUUAAAUUUUGCCUUGGAUGAGCUGGAAUUUGCUAAGCAGAAAAAGGGUAGAGGAUAGAGAGGAGAGAAGAGAGGGAAGAUGGAGGAGCUUAAUUUAGGACCAAGGCUGUGAAGACACCAUCAUUUAAGCUAAAUAGUUAAAUUUUAUUAUGUUUGAAGUGGACAGCACUGGCAGGAUUUAAAAAGGUAGCACCACGAUCAAGAUAUGUCUGAAGUAGCCAACUCUGGUAUUAGUUGAAAGCUGAACUGAAGAAAAAAGAGACUGGCCAAAAAGUGCUCAUUAAGAAAAGAGUUUCUGUGUUCUUCAAAAUUUCUGUCUUACCACCCAAGCCCUCUUAUAUGAAUUUUCUGUAAUCAUAGGAAAAAAGCUGCCAAAUAGUAAAUCUAUUUGAGGAUACUGAUCCGUUGCUAACUCCACUGAGAGUCAUUUAAUCUAGUUUUGGAUAUUUUUAUACACAUAAUUUAGAUGUUAACAUCUAGAUAAUGAUUCCUGGUCCUAUAUUGGUGAAAACAAAAUUUCUCAGUGUGUCUGUGUACAAAUCCUGGCUCCACCACUAAUGAGUAUGUGACAUUUGGGAAGUUACGUGAACUAUCUUAGGCUUUUCAUUUGUUGACCUGGGAAAGCAACAGUAACUAUUUCAUAAGCUGUUAUGAAGAUUAAACUGCUUAGGGCAGUGUUGGCCCAUGGUCCCCAUUUUAUAAGCAUUUACUAAAAUUAUCCCUAAGCAUAAUUCUGUAAGAUCGUCUAAAUUUCUUUUUUAUCAACAACUUUGAGAAAUUAGAACUUGUUUAAAUAAACCAAGGCAAAACAGAAUGAAAGACUCAGAACAGUAACUGUUACAUGUUAGAGUACAUUUGCUAAAAAUAUGUAAUAACUCCUUACAUACCAAGAAACCUAAAAAGCUGCAAGUAUAUUUAUGAAUCAUGUUAUUCUCUGAGUAACAUAUUUUGAUCUAUCAUUUCUCUUUACUUACCUGACAAAUGAUCAGGUAGUAUCAGAAGAAAAGAACAGUCACAAAAGACUGACAUUCUUGGCUAAGAACCAGUAUAACAUCUACAUAAAGUAUGUUCUACCAAGAACAUAGACUUUGAUUACAUUUUACUUCUAAAUUGGAAGACAAUCUAUUAGGAGAAAAAAAAAAACUUAUCUAAACCGAGACAAAUGAAUUCCAUUUAGUUCUACGUUCUUUUCAGUCUGUAAUGUACCAUCACAGUGCCUUGGGAAGUAGUCAAGUCCUACAAAUCCAUUCGCCCCAGAAAAUUUUUCUCAUGAAAUGUGCUCUUAUAUAGUUACCACCUGAGAUGAUCCAAAGUAUUUGCAUACAUUUCAAAUUUUCAUUCUCAUGAUAAUUUUUCACUGUUUGAUUACUUAAUUUUGUUCUCAUUGUCAAAGCCCACUUCUGUACAGGAUUCUUAACCCAGUAAGUAAAUAGAAGGCAAUAGUUUCUGUUAUAAAUUUUACGGCUUUUUUAAGGAAAGUAGUGUUCCGAGGUAUUUUCUCCCAUGUCUCUAAUGCUGAAAGAUUGGAAUAGAAGCCGAAAUUCAAAGGCAGAAACUCAGUCAGAAGCUGGCAUUUUGCCUGUGACUUGGUGAACCUGUUAAAUAAUAUUUGAGGUAAAACAGAUACCAACUAUAUCAAACAUAGUGAAGGAAUAAGUUCAGAAAAUGUGUUUUUGGUCUGGUCAAAGUUUUUGGUCUGGACAGAGUACUGGCUCUGUCCACAAAUAGGUUGAAAGCAAUGAAGGACAGGAACAUUCACUAGUCCUAUAAGCAUUUUCAGUCUUUCUUGUUGAAAACCACUGGUGGAGACAUUGAGAGAAGGUAAACACAAUGCGUGUGUCCAAGGAUCUCUACGCUUACCUUACAGACAAAUGUUAUAGUUCAUGGUUUUGUACAAGAUAUUUUUCUGCUGUUAUUUUUAUUUUAAGUGUGGCUUUUUGGAUUCUAAAAACCAUAUAACAAGGUGCUGCAGUUCCAGUCCAGUUUGAAUCUUGCCUCACAGAGCUUAAGAACAAGUGACAGCAUACCUUCUUGAAUAGAAAAUCAGUAACCUACAGACUGCUCAGAGAGGGUUUCCCAGGACUUGUCCUGUCUCUAUUCUUUGGCUACUCCCAAUUUCAGGGCUAGAGGAAAAAAUUUUUCUGUGAAGAACGGCAGUGUAGAUUCUGCAAUGAGAUAUUUGUGAACAGAUGUUUCCUUUCUACCACUUCCAUGACUUUCCAAAGGUCAGAUAUUGAUGUUUCCCUGGGGGGAGUGUAAUUAUGCUUUCAUCAGAUUGACAUGGAGAGAGAGAAUCAGGCUUUUAGAGUUUUACAAAGUUACAAAGCUGGUGGGUCCGCUUUUCCUGUUAAUUUGUGAAACAUGGGAAGAUAAUUUUUAAACCUUUAUAUACCUCUUAGAUAGCAUUUUCAAUGAAUUUGCUCUUUUGAUAGCUAUAAUGAUCAUAUAAUUUUUAUAAUAAUUAAUGUAUCUGGAAAAGAAAAAGGAAAGGUGAGAUUUGUCAAAUUUACAUAAUGGAUUGAAAGGUGCUAACAGAAUAAACAUUGAAGAAGAUGAUUUAAAAUUGCAGCAUAUUGUCAUCAUCCUAUCAGCAAACAUAUCUUUUUAAUUAUAAAAAUCCCAAAUGACAAAACCAUGAUUUUUGAUGCUGUAAUUCAUUUAGAUUCUCUUUUAUGGCUGAAAGCUUUGUAAACGACAUUAUGGACAUACGAAAUCUAUCACCACUCUGGGGAAUGGAUGAUGCCACUUCCUAUCACCAAGUUAAAAACAACAACAACAACAACUUAUAGUGCCUUUUUAGUUGAAGUAGAAUUGUAAUGAAAGCCACCUGUUAAUUAAUUUUCAAAAUAAAUGACUACUCAGCUAGUGAAAACAUCUCAACAUAAUUAUCAAGUUCAACAUCAUAAAAUGAAUGUGACAUUAAAUAAGCAUUGUAGGCUACAUUUGGAGUAGCACUUUGACACACAUUUUGAGACAUUUAUGAACUAAGAGUCCUUUCAAAACUCUUUCCAGUGCAUUUCUUUGCUCUUUUGCCUAGACCUUCUAAUUAAAACAGAAGCCAGUUAUAUUUCUUUCCUCCAAGAGUCUAAAAACCCAGUGGAGGGUCAGCCUAACAUUUUACUUUGCUGAAACAAGCUUGUCAAGUGGUGACUACAUAGCAAUGAAUGUAAUUGUUUCAUUUUAGGUGUAAUAAUAUCAUUUUAAAGGAAUAUCAGAAGUUACCGUCUGAUCAUUUUGAAGCGAUAUCUAGUAGUAGUAUUUUAUACUAAGUGAGUGGUUUGGUUAGGUAUGGCUUUGUAAGGUAUUAAACAUCUAAGUGAAAAAUCAAGACCAUGAUUAGAAUUUUUUACUAGCAAAUUCUAUUCACUAAAACAGAGGGUGAUUUAGGUAUGUAGAUACAAUUGAAAGAGGAAAGUGAAAGUCAAAGUGAAAAACCUAUUUUUUUCUCACUGAAAAAAUCAACAUCUGAGAUGUGUCGUAAUCAUAGAUUUUACAAUCACAAACUAAUCUUAAAUGUGUAUAUGAUACUCUGCUAAAAUAUCAUAAGAACAAGGCUUGCCAAUGUAAUAUUAAAGGAAAAUGUGUCAGCUUAUAAUGUCAAUUAUUAAACAAAUAAGAAGUCAUUUUGACAAGGGGUUGUGUUGUGUUUUGAAGGCCUUGUACUAAUCGAUCCCAGUCUUUCUCUUGAAAGGACAGCUAAUGUCAAAUUUAUUGUAAGAAAAGUUACUUUUCAUAGUUUCAAU